rnacentral:lncRNA from 1 species
GUGUGGUGAGGCAGCAGGGAUGAAGCAUUUACCUGGGUAGGUAAGUCAGGAGGAGGUCAAAAGAAGAAAACAGUAGGAGGCAGGGAAGCAGUGUCUGUCUCCAUCUCUGCCCUUUGAAAUAAAAGGGUAUCCUUUCCUCCCUUCAGCCCCCCCCACCGACCCAGUGAAGGUGAGUGACUCACUAACCAACUUUGCUUAUUCUGCAGCAAAAGGAGGGGUUUCAGGAGAAGUCAGAGCUACAUGGUUUCUGGGAGAAGUGGGGUGCCUCUCCACACCCCAACUAAAGGAUUCCUCCUGUGUUCAAUUCUCUGAGUCCAGCCUGGGAUCAGAGCAGGACAGUAGCUGAGAUUUAAGUACUUAGACCAGGACCAGGAAAGCCUUUUCAUUUAUUUAGGUUGGGUAAGCAUAUUGUACAAACAAGAAAAGAAAAUAGACUUGUUUUGGAAAUUUCCAUCUCUGAGCAAUUGAGAUUGAGGUGUGAUUUUGAAAGAGAAAAGUUUGAGCAGAAGAAGUUUAAACGGGGUUCACUCGGGUGAGUAGAGUGCCUUGGUUUUCCAUUGCAUUUCUAACUGGAAACUCUCCCAUGGCUUUACCAACUCAGUGUCUAUCUGUAUUUAAAUAAAGGGUGCAGUGUGUAUAUGUUCGAUCAUAGAGGUUGAUAAUGGAGUUCUUGCUGGACAGGUGUGUAAGGUAUGGACUGUGCUAGGUUGUUUGUAAGGACUUGUGAUAUCAGAAAAACCUUAAAAUGUGCUACCAGUUCAAUUCAUCUUUGGAAAACCCACCAAUAAUCUAGCUACAGAGUCAAGUUUAUUUGGGUUCAACUCAUUACUUUUCCAACUUUUCCUAUUAGUAGAUACAGACACUGGCAAACAGAAAGCUACUGGGCUGUGCCAGGGCCGCGCCCACAUUGAUAUUUCACGGCUGCAUGUUGAGUCUGGUCAGAGUUCCAAGUGGGGCUCAGGCCAAGAUAGUGUGGCAAAGUCCCUAAAGAGGAGAACUAGACUAGGGCAGCGGUUUUUCAUUAUGUUCCUUCAGGUGUCCCAGGUGGCCCUUGUGUGGCAGGGGUACCUGCUUAAGGAAGCUGGCUGUAGAAGAAGAGUCCGAGUAGCAAGUCAGCGUUCCAUUUUCCACGUUGGAGGUUAACACUUUGGUCCCUAACUUUGCCUCUUUUCCUCCUGUGCAGUGGAAAGACCUCAGGGACAGGAUCCCAGGGCCUGGUGCACACAGUACUCAAAGGGGUUUCAAGGGGUCAAUGGAACUUUAGAUGUUAGCUUCCCCCAUACCACAGAAAGAGCCCACCACACCAGCUGCCUGAGGACUGCCUGUGAUGGGGAACUUGUCAGCAGAGAAGGUCACCUGCUGUGUCUAAUAAGGCCCUUCUGCACAAAGGGUAUUUCUAUCCAUCUUUUCACGUAUAUCACUGGUGAAAAAGAGAUUCUAAUGUUUCCUGGCACUCACAGAAACGUGUCCUCGUGCUUGUAGAGAGGGAGACAACACAGUGCAAAUUUCAGUCUUCCUAGAAUAUUUCUUAGGAAGUUCUCCAGCCCAAGGUACAUUUCUAGGUAGUCAGCAAAAACCUCUCUGACUACUGAGAAGAGAGGCUGAGCUCUUGGAGGAUAUGGGGUGGGGUUCAUGGAAGGGGCUGAUAAGCGGGGUUUGGGUCUGUUCAGAAAGUCUCUUCCAGUGAACUUAGACUGGGACUGGAGCCCUCUCCCUCCGCACAGGCUUCAGAUGCUAGAGUGCCACAUGCAGUUUAUUUACUCUUGUCCAAGACUUGGCUAGUUUCAGUGGAGUGGUUAAUAUUUAAUGUGCCUUCGGAUGGGUGGCUCUGACUAUAGGCUGUGCAUAUUUCCCAGCCCGUUCCCCCCUCCUCUUAAGUCCCCCAAAGAGGUCAAGGGUGAAAAGACACUACACUCUCACCUUGACUGCUGUGCUUGUUUCUCAGGUUUCUUAUCUGGCAGAAAUACCUCCAGUUUCGAUGGCUACCCUGAUACAGCCCUCAAGUUUCAAGGUUAUGGAGUUGGUAGAAGGAAAUGCUGUAUGUGGGUUGGGCAAAGCCAGUGAGGGGGGACGGAAAGAUGGGAAGAAUACUGCUCAAACUCUUUGGGUCAGAAAGCUCGGUAUAGAGAUGAGGUGUCAGCACCUGUGGGCUCACUCAGCUUGGUUUCAAGUUCACAUCAUCUCUGCAGAGAUUGAUUAAUACGGUGCCCAAUGACAUGAUCUUCCCUGGCAUUUAGCGUCAUUUCUUUGCACAUCCCCCUGCCCACCCCCACCCCCUGAAGAAUGUAGGUUUGGGUGAGUGCUCUCUGAACCUGGACAGUCAUUAAAGGUGUGUGGCUGGGAUGACUGAACUUCAUCUACAUGAUUUCUCACAUGCCUGUUUCUUUGAGGUGCUAACUUCACGAAGAAACCCUCCCCGUACUGGAGAUUAAACUCAGGGGCUGAGCUACAUCCCCAACCUUUUAAAAUAUAUUUUAUUUUGAGACAGGGUCUCACUAAAUUUCUCAGGGACUGGCUUUGACUUGCAAUUCUCUUGCCUCAGCCUUCUGAGUCUCUAGGAUUGCAGGAGUGUGCCACCACACCCAUCUAGUGUCAUUUCUUUACUCCGGAAAUAUGUAUCUGCUGCUAGGUCAAUAAACUGUCCUGGAAAUAUAGGUCUGAACCAGAAAAUGCACAGGGUUUAAGAUAUGAAAUAAAUGAAGAGAUGCCAAUCCUGUCUUUAGUAUUCAGUCAGGAGUGAUCAAUGACCCCUCUUUAGGUGCAAAUCCUCUGGCAACUUGGCUGUCCCUGAGAGCCCUCUGGAGGGGCCCAGAUCCAUAGCUGUCCUGAAUAUGUAGCUCUGGGUUUUUUACCAUUUUUCUUGGUAAGAGAUAGUGGGAGGAGCCCCAGGUUUCACACCUGUGAAAUGAAGAAAAUGUCACCAACUGUCUCAGUUACCAGGUUAUUCUGAAGGUCUAAUGAGCACAUCUGGGAGCACUUUGGAGUAGCGUGCCAAGUUCUUGCUGAGCAAGACUAUUCCUACUCUUCAGGGUCUGCAGUGUGAGCGCGAAAGGCCUCCCUGGGAAGAAGGAAACCUGGUGACCCACUGCAAAGCCUGAAGCAUACUUGGAAGAUCAAGGGUAGCAAUUUUCUCUGAAAGUAAGAGGCAGCAUCUGCUCAUUCAUUCAGAGAGAAAAUUACAUUAAUUAUAGUGAAUCACCUUAAAUAUUUAUUGCCCCAAUUUUACAUAUAAAAAAACUGAAGCCCCAAACCAGACCCUUGGAUCAACACUGACUUCUUAAAAACAAUGCUUUUGUCUUAUUCUGUUUUAUACCCCCGCUGCCUAUUAGGUGCUCAUAAAUAUUAAUUUAACUUAAAACAUUGCCCAAAUUCCACUAAGCCAUAUAUUCUCUGUGAUAUAAAAUAUUUAAGAAUAAUUUUACAGGAGUAGAUUAGAAGCCAAGGAGAAACCUCCCAACAGUUCAACCCAACAGACACCAGGACACAUGGCAAGCAUUUUUUGAGUGCCUCCUAUGUGCCUAAAGCGUAUGAGAGAUGGGUUCCCUUUGCUGUAACAGCCUCAACCCUGAAGAAUGUAGGUAUGGGUGAGUGCUCUCUGAACCUGGACAGUCAUUAAUGGUGUGUGGCUGGGAUGACUGAACUUCAUCCACAUGAUUUCUCACAUGCCUUUUUCUUUGAGGUUCUAACCUCACAAAGAAACCCUAAAAGCCAUCUCUACCAUCUAAAUGUUAAUUUAUCAUUGGGUUUCCUGGGUGUCUCUGACUCACUGUUCCCCUCCUUAUCUUCUGAGAGAGACUGUGGACCUUUAUGAACCCCAGGUGUCUGGCUCUUUGGGGAUCUUCCCUCUUCUUUCUACAGUGUUCUGCCCCUCCCUCCCUUCCAAGAGUAGCUCCAUGCAGCCUUAUACUUGCCAGCUCUCACGGGUUAGAAGGCUGAUUCACCCAACCCUGCCCAAACCUCACACUGGUACUGGAAGCUACUACUGGUAGAAGUCAAAGGGAUAUCUGCCUGGCUUCCAAAUCCUGAGUCCUCACAUCUCCUAGAGAAUACAUUUUUCUAAGGUACUUUAUCUAGUAUCUUGGGAAAAGUAGACGAGGUCAUUAAAAUAGAGCAUGGUUUUAUGGGCAAAAUAUGGAUCCCGAAUUGGAUAAACUUUAUUGUAAUUCUAAGUUCUCCCCCAACUUCUUGUUGGACCUUGAAACUGUUCUUUGAUCACAAUUGCUUUAGAAUUUAAUUUAACAAGACAGUCACCCUUGGCCUGCCCGAUUCUAUUUCCCACAAGCACUGACUUCAGUAGGAAAACAACACUGACUUCCUUUGAUACUACUAUUGUCACAAUGAACUUGAAAUUUUUUUCCCCUAAGGAGCUGAAGUCAAGAUGAAGCUAUAUAGAACUUUUCUCUUGUUCCUCUGACAGCUAGGGAAUUUUAUUGGGAAUAUAUACAAUGAUGGAGGAGGAGAUGCACAGGAGGGAAAUUAGGUUUGUGUCAAUCACCGCAGGUGCCAAGCUCAUUUCUCAGAGGCUAGAGAGAUGAUGAUAGCCAUCAUAGCGGUGGCUGUAAUGACGCUGAUGAAGUUGACCUUGACAGCAGUUGACAGCAGGCCCUGCAAUUCACAAAGUGUUUUACAGGGAGUUUUUCAUUACAUUAUAUUCUCAAAGUGACUAAAAAGCAAGUUCAAUUAAGGGCCCUGUUUUUUUUUUUUUCUCUCAAGUCUAUAUUUAAGCAGAACCCUUCUUUUCCAAGUUCUUACUUCCCUUGUUUCACUUUAAUUUGGUCCUAGAUGUAUCUUGCCUUUUUCUUAUUACAAGAACAAUAGUAGUUAUUUAUUUUGUUCAUUAAGUGUUUGAGUAUUUACUUACCAACUAAACUGUGCUCUUCUCUCAUUUAAUCCUUAUGUUAUUCAAUGAGGUAUUACAAAUGUUAUUACAAAGAGUAAUUUGCUUCAGGUAAAAUAACUCUAAAUAGCUCAAUUGGAAUUUGAACCCAGGCCCAACUACCUCCACAGCCCAAUCGAUUAAACCUUGUAGUAUUUAUUGUUUAUAUUAAAGACAAUGUAGGUGAAGCUCCCUGGUUAGGAGGAAAAUGGUAACUCAGAAGUGAUAGAAGCUGCUUUCUGACUAGACUGCCUCUCUACCACCUAAGUCUGUCCCUGUGCAUGUUUUUGAGCCAGGUCCCACGUCCUUCCAUGCAGGCUGCGGGCGUGGAGGCACGCCCUCCAAGGCCCCCUUCCUGUUCUCUGCUUGCUUGACGUCUUCGCAGCCAUGCUGCCCUGGGGCCUGGGCAGAGCCUCGCAGAAGCCUUGGCUCACAGUGGCUUUGAUUCUUCUCUUUUCAGGCCCAGCUUGGGACAUUCUUCGCUUCUCUUCGCUUCCCCUCUGGGAGUCCCUUUCACCAUCCCUGCACCUUGCUUCGGGCGAUGCCCGAGAGGGAGCUGUGGCCAGCAAGGCCUGGCUCGGAACCCGUGACCUGCAUCCGCAGCUGCGACAGCAUGAUGAGCGCCACCUCCACCCGCUCGGGAUCUGUAUGUACUCUCGCGUCUGCUGGCUGGCCCGCUCUCUGCACGCCUGCUCCGCCCUGCCUGUCCUGCCCUGCCACCCUCCUUGCCACCGCACCUUCUCUUUCAUCUUCCUUGUCAGCAAGUGAAUCACCACAUCGCUGGGUGCUUUCUGCCUGAGUCACCCUUGGUUCUAUAGAGCACGGGGUGGGACAGCAUCAGAGAAUGAUAGGAUCAAUGAGAACCCCGUCUAGUCCCCAGCUUUCUUCAGGUUGAGGAGUUCAACUGCGGAGUUCCUAGCAGGCCUAGGAACCAAGGUCAUGGUGGAAACUAGAACACAGAUCCUUGCAGCACAUGGGUUCAUGGAGUUGUCUGCAGCAAAGGGCAUUACUUCAGUCUUCUAGGGAGAUGGAAAAGAGUGUGGGGCUGUAGCUCAGAGGCCUUUGCCUAGCACCUGUGGGGCCCUGGGUUCUAUCCUCAGCACCACACAAAAAUAAGCAAAUAAAAUGAGGGCAUUCAGUCCAUCUACAACUACAAAAACGUUUUUAAAAAUCUUUAAAAAAAAAAAAAAAGAAUGGAGUAAUUGGGAGUCUUAAGUUUUAUAGCCAGAGCGAUCUGGAUUCUCUAGUUAUGUGACCUCAAGCAAAUUACUUAAUUUUCCUAAGCCCCAGUCUCCUCAGUUUUAAAAUGGGAAUAAUAUUAACACCUAACUCACUGGAGUCUUAGAGGAAGUAAAUUAGCAUUUAGCAUUUAGCACUUGUCUCUGUGUAGAAAAGCCCAUCUAGGAGAGACUGAGACACUUUGAAAAUCACCGUUCAGCUAUUUGUGAGUGGCAUGUAACAAAUUAUAAUUUGGGGAAGCAUGAAUUUAAAUCUCAGUUGUAAGGCUUGUGUGAAAGUGUCCAUCUGCCCUACAUCCAAAUGUAAGCAUCUCUUUCUUGUUCAUUGUCACAUGCAUAAUAACCCAGAGAAUUUAGAUUGUAUUGCUUCAUAUUUUAUAGAGGUCUUUGAAAAUGUAAAGAUCAUAAGUAUCUCUACAGAAUGCCAAGGAUGUUUAAUAUAGUUAAUGGGUUUUAAUAUGUAAAAUGGAGCAGAUAAAGCAACACAAAGACACACACACACACACACACACACAAUGCAAACAACCUAUGCAAGAUUUUUUUGUGAUCCCAGAGGAUGGGGACAGGGAGAUAUCAUCCUGUUCCUGAUAGACUGAAGCCAGUAUGAGUAGUUGUCACAUUCCAUUGGACACAGAAUGUGUCAGGGAUUCCAGGUUUUCAGAGUGAAUCACCCACAAAGGAGAAAUUAAGAGUUGGCUUAUCCCGACAAGGUUAUUUUAGAAGAAAAAGACAGUAAAGAAGAUCUUUGUUCCAGUAACUUCAAGGGCUAUAUUUGGGGCUUCCCUUGACAUGCAGGCCCCAGACGGUCAUCAGACAGAUGACUUUAAGGGCAGAGGCAACUGGAAGGGUUAUUUAAUCAUCCUGUCUUCCCUGCAGGAUAUUUUUAGGGUAAUCUUAAAAUCUUCCUUGGCCAUCUGAGGGGAUCUGAGAAUAUACAACUCUGAGAUGUCCCAAAUUCCAGGAGGACAGAUGGAGAGGCCAAGAAAAGUCUUAGGACAUUUCCACUUGUCCUUUUGGUUUUUUCCUUUAACCUCCUUGUUUGAAGAGCAACUAGUUCAUCAAACUUCCUGGUUUAGUACAGCAUGGGUAGAACCAUCAGAGAUGGCAUAGUAUCAUCCUCCAAAUAUCCCUAUGUGCUUUCUCACAACAUAAAUGAUCCAUUUUAUGUCUAUUUAGUUGCUUUCCCUUCCUACCUAAUCAACCAGUUUCUCCACCCACCCUGAUUAAGUUAAUAUUUGGUUAAGAAAUACAUACUUAUUUGAAUAUUAGCCAGAGCCAAAUGCCAUUAAGAAAGUAAAUUUAUAAGGGGGAAAGAAUCCAACAUGGAACAUAUUUCAAAGUCAAGUGUAAAGUAUUUAGUAAGCUUAUCUGUGGCUAGUCAUGCCACUGUUCCCCUUGGCCUGGCAGCCAGUACUUGGCUGCAUUUCCUGUUUGUCUUCAUAUUGUCCUUGACAUACCAGAUCAAGUAUGCAGAAGUAUUUUAAAAAGUUAAAAGUAAUACCAUUCGAGUUUCAGGUCAAAUCAUUUCAUUGUGCAUAUAAUCUAGAGUUAAAUUAGAGAAACUGAAAUACUUGACAAAGGUCACACAGAAUUGAAAUCAGAACUUGAACUGCUUCUGAUCUGUGCCCAGAAGCAUUCCACCCAGGACCAAGCAAAAGAAAGCACCCUUGCCAUCAGCCUGCCCAGCCACCAGAUCUGGGUGCUGCAGGGGCCCCAGCCUGGCAAUGUCUAUCCUCCCUGGUGCCUGAAAAUGUAGGAAACAACUCCAUUGAGUUUGCAGAGUUGCACCAGCCACCAGCAAGAGCAUCUUCUUUCCCCACAGCAGGGUGGUUCUCAGUCCCCACCAGUUUCUCCAGUGAUAGCUCCCUCUCACACUCCCUCUCCCCUUCUGCAGAGUGACAGUAGCUACGACUUCCUGUCCGCAGAAGAGAAAGAGUGUCUGCUAUUCCUGGAGGAGACCAUUGGCUCAUUGGACACUGAGGCCGACGGUGGACUCUCCACGGAGGAGUCUGAGCCAGCCACAACUCCCCGAGGUUUCCGGACACUGCCUGUCAUACAGCCGGUUCCCCAGAGUAAGCCCAUCCAAUUGAGGGAGCACUUGUACCAACACCCAGAGAAUCAGUGCCUCUUGGUCACUUCCCAGCUCCCCUGGCCUCUGUUCCCAGGCAGGAGGGACUCUGCACUUCUCACCACUCUCUUGGCCAGAAUAAAGCCUUGUCCCUAGAGGGAAGGAGGGACUGCUGACAAGCCAGUCUUUUAUGUCUUUCUGUGAAGUAUCAGAGGCUGGGAGGGGAAGGGGUUUGGCUAGCUACUAUCCUUUUGUGGCAAAAUUCUAAAGAGAUAUGACCCCCAGGUGGAGGAGGGAAUUCAGGGAAGGCUGGGUGGUUGGCUCUAGCCAGACUGAGUCAUUCCAGGGAGCUAAUCUGGACGACCCAGAGGACAGGGCCAUAGGAGAUAAGAAGAGGGAAGGACUCCCCAGCUGCAGUUGGUGGUACCUAGAAGCCCUUCUUGAAGAGGGCGGCAUUCAGGCUCAGUAGAAAAGGACAGGACAGGAAGGCACAUAAGCAUGGGUCAUAUGUCCCAGAGUUUAGGGACUUUACUCUCAAUGACAGUCCCAUUGGUUUCAGGGUUACAAUUAUUUAUUAAUUUAUUUAUCGAAUAUUUAUCGACAAUGUGUUACACCCUCCCUGUAGAUAGAGUAAUAAAUGGGCUGUGCCCCUUGCAGCACCUGAGGCACCUGCUGAGCUUGCAAGAAGGAAAGAGGUCAUGUCACUCUGGUGCAGGACACUGUGCUAUUAUAGAAUUGGCCAGGGGCUCAUAGAAGGUGAAAGCAGAAGACAGACUGGUCAGAUCAAGAGCAAAUCACUUGUUCAAAUAUUUCCAUUGGGCUCAGUUACCCAGGAGCCCCAAGAUGACUAGAAGGAACCAAUUCUAAAUCCAACCUUGAUUUUGAUGUGUUUGAAGAAGGUUGGAGGAGCCUGAGUAAAGGAUGUGGAGCAAUCAGGGGUCAGCCUCUCCCCAGCCAUCAUGAAAAAAUAAUCCUCAGUCAAAAGGAAUCUGCCGUUAUUGAUCUAUUAGACUAGAUGAUUUCCAGACAAGAGUGGUGCCCUUUAAAAGCAAAAAAAUAAAAUAAAAUAAAAAACGAAACCCAUUCCUUGUUUAGUUGGAGAGCAGAGUUCAAGUAUUUGUUUUCCCCUCUGCAGUACGGUUCUCACCUCUUUCCACUCUCUACCUGUUCUCCCUGACCCUCGCAGGAAACUCAGAGAAGACAAUCAUUCAGCAAGGACCAGAGCCAAGGAAGGUGACUCAUUCCUCCUCAUUCCGUCCCCCUGAGCCUUACAGCUUGGGCUUCAAGUCUGGCUCCUACAGCCUCCCCAGAAAUAUCCACAUUGGCGGAAACCAGAACCUCAGGAAAAGCACCACCCAGACUAACAGCCACUUCCCUGGAGAAUCUGAGGGACUCAUAGCUAAACCUGAGAAAAAGCAGGCCAGCCAGAGCAGGGAGCCUGGCCAGGCACAAGCUAAUCCCCUGGGGACUGCCCUUGACCUGGACGUGGUACUCAUCCCCCCACCUGCAGCUUUCCAGGACGCCCAGCCAGAGCAGGGUAGGAAAGACAGCCUGCCCAAGGGGCCAGGAGAGCCUAGGCCCCAACUCCACCCACCAUUCAGCCCCCUGGAGAGAGUGGAGGGGGAUUCAGAGGCCAUGUCCCACCCAGCCAGUGGGAAAGGUUCCACAGGGGCCUCAGGAAAGCCACAGCCUCCUCCUGCUGAGUUGUCUUGGAAUGCCAGAGCUGAAGAUGCUUCCCUCCCACCAGGGGCUGAUCCAAAUCCCAGAAUGGCUCCCCUCACAGCCCCGAAGCCCCGGAAGCUGCCACCCAACAUUGUUCUGAAGAGCAGCCGAAGCAGCUUCCACAGGGAUCCCCAGAACAGGCUGUCCCGACACCAUGAGGCUGGAGAAUCUGGCCUGGUGUCCUCUUCACUGCAGGACCAAAGGAAAGCACGCAGAGAAGCACUGGAGAAGCUGGGGCUACCCCAGGACCCAGAGGAGCCCAGCCUCCCUUUGAGUAGGCCCACCAGCUCCAUCAGACUCAAGGAGGCUCAGGGCCCCGAUCCUUCUCCAGCCCCAGCUCCAGCUCCUAUAGCUGCAAUUGCUCCUGCUGCAGAGAAGAUUCCAGCUCAGGGACCUUCCCCAAUGAAGCCUCCAGCAUCAGCUCUAGCUCAGGGGCCCUAUCCAGGCAAGGUUUGGAUUCCCACCCAGGAACCCUCUCUUGGGAAAGUUGCAGCUACCAAAUCCACACCAAUCCCUAUCCCUAAGGCCCCAAAGGCAAAUAGUGGCUUAACUCAGCCAAAGCCAGACUCAGGACUGACUCUCCGGGAGAGCAACAUCCCUGGCCUGAGACAGAUGAACUUCAAGUCCAACACUCUGGAGCGUUCGGGUGUGGGACUGAGCAGCUACCUCUCUGCUGAGAAAGACCCGAGUCCCAAAACCAGCACUUCCCUGGGAAAGGGUUCCUUCUUGGACAAGAUCUCACCCAGUGUCUUGCGUAAUUCUCGGCCCCGCCCUGCCUCCCUGGGCACUGGGAAGGACUUUGCAGGUAUCCAGGUGGGCAAGCUGGCUGACCUGGAUCAGGGCCAGAGCUCCAAGAGGCUGUCCUACCAAGGACAGAGCCGUGACAAGCUUCCUCGACCCCCUUGUGUCAGUGUCAAGAUUUCCCCAAAGGGCGUCUCUGAUGAACAUAGGAGGGAGGCCUUGAAGAAGCUGGGGCUGCUGAAGGAGUAGGCCACCAGUGCCACCAAGAUUAAACCAAGAGGAGAGACUGCGGGCUCCACUUAGGAGCCCUUGUGACCUCACGGCUUAGGGCUGGGGCAGCCAUGGGCUCCUCUCACUGGUUCUGCACUCUUGGAGGCGAAUGGGAAGGAGAGACUUUUGUUCAAGCAUGUGUUGAAUUCAGAGUGGUUGUGCCAUUGACCAUCUCUACAGAUCAUUCUGAAGAAGAAAUAGACAAGGGCGGGGGGCAUGUGCACGUGUAUUUGGGGAAGCUGUACAUAUCACUGACACUCUUUAUGUAACACAAAAAGGCAUUGUUCAGAGUUCUGCUCUUGUUGAAAAUUUUCUUACAAUGGAGAAGGGAGGCCAGAAAAGUCAAAUGAGAUGAUGGAUAUGCAAGUGAUCUGAAAGAAGAGUUAUAGUGGGGCUGGGGAUAUAGCUCAGUUGGCAGAGUGCUUGCCUCACAUGCACAAGGCCCUGGGUUCAAUCCCAGCAGCACCACCACCCCCCAAAAAGAAGAGUUAUAAUCUACACGUAAAGGUUCACAUGAAUGUGGGCCUCCUAGAAUCCCUGCGGGAAAUGAGACUGGUUCAUACCUUGUUGGAUCCCUCUCUCAGUUCAGGCCUUCUGGACAAGGCCUUGAGCCUAGAGAAGUUGGUUUGUUAUCUCUUCACCCACUGCCUUCUUAGUGUCACCAGUCCCACUGGAGGACCCCUCCCUGUGACUAAACCUCUUAGUUCACUGAUAGCAGGACAGCUCUUGUCAGUCUUGAAGGCAGGAUAAGAGGCCACACACUCAUACCUCUGCCUGCACUGGUGAGAGUUCUUGUCAGUGGGCUUGAGAAAUUCGAUAAUAAACUGUGCUGUGGUUCCAUGACUCUGGUAUUACGAUGCUUCCUGCUCUCUUGCUCUUUAUCUCACUCUGCACAUGACCGACUAGAGGGCUGGUCAAUACUGAGGUGGAAGCCCCAGCCCAGAGGUUUUAUAAAUACCACAGAACUAUUUCAGAUCUAUGUUAUUGUAGAUCAUUUUCAAAUGUCCACAGUUCCAAGGAUAAGAAAUCAGCACAAUACAUAGAAAAUUGGAGCUGAGAGGAAUCUUAAGAAGAACUCCUAUCCAACCCUGCUGGGGAAGGGCAGAGACUCAUUCAUGGUCACUCUGCAUUUGGUAAACAGCUGAGUCAAGGACCUGGUGCUCCUGAUUCCCAUUCUCUGCUGCCUCCCUUAACCAUGCUCUUGUACUUCCACGUACCACCUUAAAAGUCCAUAAUCACUUUCAAAGCCUGAUCCCUAAGAUCUUCAAGACCCUAGUGUCUUCUGAAGCAACCAGGACUAAAUAUUCAGGAUAUUUAGUGUUGUAGUUUUUAUUCCACCUUCAGAAAGUGGUUAUAUAAUAGCUCAUUCUUAACCAGAACACCUCUUCCUGCAGAUUCUCUGACCAAGCUGUACAAUUUGAGCAAAUGCCAAAAGAGGGUAAUAUGAGCAGGUGGUGUGGACUUGUGAAUACAAGCUUGAUUAGACAUGGCUAGACAUGACCCUCACUUCCCCUUAGGAAACACGUCUUAUGCCUAUGACUUGGUUGGAGUUCAGCAUGACCAGGUGUGAGGGGUAGAUAAAGGGACUGUUGUUGGAAAGGUGCCCUGAAGCUCUGCUGAGCAUUUCUGGCCCGUGUCCUCAAAGACCCAUCACUGUCAAACUCAGAAUUUCUGAACAUGAUGAGAAGGUUAGGGUAAGGAUAACAGAUGGCUCCGCCCUGCCCUGGUAUGUGGGGUGUGGGUGUGGCAGUUUCUAUGUACACUUCUCAUACACACUCACACCCAAAAGCCUGGUGCCUCAUUCCUAGCCCUGAGUGAGGACCCAUUCUGUCACAGCUGAUGGGGACUCCCACACUAGCCAAGCUAUAUCUUAUUACAGACUCCCAUAAGGAGAGAGAGCCACCUUCUAGAGAAAUGAUUAGACAUACUGGAUUAUUUUGAGCUGCUUCGUGUGUAAGUUUCAAGACACGACCUGAGGAAUGAUAGCUUUCUUCCUUAUUCAUUAAUUACCUUGAUUAAUAGGGAAACAUGAGACUAGCCAUCAACUGAGACUUGGUGGGAAUCCAGAGCCCUGGCAUCAACACAAUGCUAAUCCACACUGGUUGGUCAGGACUACUACCUGUUUAGUUUCCACCCCUGGGAAAUGAAACUUCUCUCCCAGACAAAUCAGAGUUACAAACAGCCUGCACUCUGCCCAUCAGCAUCCUCAUCCUAGUGGUGAGCUGGCUUCCCCAGUUUCAUAAUCUGAAAGACGCUUUUACCUGGUUAUUUAAGGAUACCAUGCUCCUUACGUCCUUGUCCUUCAAAAAGUAUAUUCUGUUUUAAGGAAAGUCUUUGGAAUUCAGGAAUAAAACAAUAAAUCUAAAUGAAGUCAUCUCAUUUUGAAGAGGAAAAAGGAGACCCAGUGAGGAUGGAUCUACCUCCCUGAGGGUGAUGCUAGACCCACCUGAGGUGAGACCUGAGGUAAUUGGGUCUGUUCUCUUGUGCUCGUAUAGGAUUUCUCUUCACUCAGCUUGGACUGGUUUGGUGGAAGGUGAGAAUGGGUUUUGUUAUUUUUUUUCAAAGGAUUUUGGGAGGAAAUUUGUAAAGACCAUCAAUUUGAUCUUAAAAGCCAAAGUGAUAGCUCUUGACCUUGGAUUUCUUGGAUUUCUGCUUUACAGCACUAUAGUCUUGCUGCUAUUAGGCACAAACUAUUCUCAGAAUAAAGAAGUGAUCACUCUUCAGCCUGGUGCAGUGGGAUCUGUGUUUUCAGAGGUGUUAUCAGCUGCUCCUCAGAGUCACCACUCCUGUGCUAAUUUGGGAAUUCUGUAUUCUGACUCCAGGGUGGUGGCAAGGCCGACCUACAGGCCAUCUUGCACUGAAGUUGGGACAGAGCCACUCACCUCUUACCUGCCUUCUUCCACAGAGGGAAGUGUGGUCUGGCAGAGUUCAUCCUGUAAUCUGGAGGGAGCAGGUGUGCAAACACUGCUGAUUGUUUCAUGGAAGGAAGGGCGGGUAAAAGAUAGGAAAGUAGGUCCUAAUUGAUGUUCUAGGUUUAAGCUGGAGGAGAAGGUUGAAGAGUCUACAGAAUGCACAAGUAUGUGAGAUGAACCCCUCUCUCUUUGGAUCCCUGGUUGCCUAUGUAGGCAAAGAAGGAUAACACUAUGCAAAUAUGAAACUACAUCUCUUAGAUUAGUGGAAGUGGAGACCAAGGGUGAGAAGGAGGAAUCCUGAACGUAUUUAUCAGAAACUAAGAAGGAAUACUCUUUUCCUCAUGUGAAUGACUAUAAAGCGUACAACUCUAGACUCAAAGUCAACCUCCAUCAUGGGGCAAUCAGGAGCCCUGGGAGAGAUACUUUAACUUUUGAACUUCAGAAUUCUCAUCUGUGAAAUGGAGGAAAUACCACUGUUCUUUAAAGAUUCUUGGGAUGGAAAGGUGAUAUAAAAUAUGGCAAGCUCAGUACUUGGCACUUGGCUCCAUAAUUACAGUACUAUCUUCAGGGACUUAGUCUUUCCUUCUCAAAGGGAGCAAACAGAGAGAGGGUUGGAAGCCAAGUAUACACCCAAUUCUGCUCUGAGAAGAAAUAGAAGAGAGCUUGCUGCCUAUAAAAGUCCAAAGUAACAACUAGUCUUUGGCACACCCUGCAGGUGACUCAACUUCACCCACGCCACGUUUCCGGAAUUUGAAUCUGAUGUUUGUAUCUUGGUGAGGAUGAGCCCACUGCUUCCGUUUCUGAAUUCUCAAACCCAGUUUCCCCUCAAUUGUGUCUCAUGCUUCUUAUGAGCAUAUAGUUUGGUUCUUCAAGUUUUCCCUAACUUCCUUUUUGCUACGUGGUUCAUGGAGCUAUAUGCUCUUCUAUAGUUAUUUAUUUUUAGGAAAGAGGGGGAAAACUUACAUAACAAGUGGGAACUUUUGCUAAAAGCAGAAAGUGAUAGAAACUCUAAAAAAGGUUUCAAGAUUCCUGGAGAAAUUAAAAAAAAAAUAGGGUAGACAUCUUUCUGGAUGAGGCAUUAUUUAUCAGGAUAUCAAAGCCCAUGGGAUGGCCUCUCCACAUCCUUCCUGGUGUGGUGACCCUGUGAAUUGCUUGAGUCAUCACUACCAUCACUGACACUUAGCACACCAGUGAGGUAAAAAAUGGUGACAGUCUGAUUCCAGGCUGUUACUCUCUCUUGCUCAUUACCUAGUUGAAUCGUUGUCCCUGUUCACCACUUGCUCUGGAUCCUGAGUUCAAAACUGUAUGAAACACAAUGGUAUCCAGGCAGAGCUGCAGACCAGGUGAACUCUAGUAGAUGAUUUCAUGUCACUCAUAAAAUGGGGGGGCUUGGAAUGGACUAUCUCCUAGAUCCAUGACAUCCCUGGAAUGUAUGUUUCAUGAGUCUAAAUAAGUCAAUUAGGAAGAUCAACACCCUGCCCAAAAUAACCACAAUCCAGUCUAAGAAAGCUUAUGUUUUAUAAUGCAACUCAAGCCCCCACUUAAAGAGAAAAAUGGAUGGAUGGAUGGAUGGACUGAUGGUGUUAUGGUUUGGAUAUGAGACAAAAGCUCACAUGUGAGACAGUGCAAGAAGGCUCAGAGGAGAAAUGAUUGGACUGUAAGAGUCUUAACCCAAUCAGUGAUUUAAUCCCCUGAUAGGAAUUAACUGAGUGGUAACUGAAGUGGGUAGGGUGUGGCUGGAGGAGGUGGGAAUUGGGGUGUGGCUUUGGGUAUAUAUUUGUAUCUGGCGAGUGGAUGCUCUCUCCGCUUUCUGAUUAUCAUGAUGUGAGCUGCUUCCCUCUUCCACAUUGUUCUGCCAUGAUGUUCAGCCUCACCUUGAACCUAGAGGAAUGGACUCCACUGUCUAUAGAUUGAGACUUCUGAAACUGUGAGCCCUUAAAUAAACUUUUCCUCCUCUACAAUUGUUCUGGUUGGGUCUUUUGGUCACAGUGGCAAAAUAGCUGACUAAAAUGUAUGUAUGUAUGUAUGGAUGGAUGGAUGGAUGAUGGACAGAUAAAAGGAGACAGGAGAAAGAUUGAGAACGUGGAGUAGCCAAGAGCAUAGGCUUGGGAGGCAGGUUUCCAAGGUCUCUGUACCUUAGUUCCUUUCCCAGUUAUUUCUUUGUUCUUCGUUUAUAUUCUUUUUCUGAAUAGUUCAGGGAACUAUAUGCUGUUCAAUGAUUAUUGUUUAUUAUAUUUUAUUUCAUUUUUUGGUACUGGCAAUUGAACCCAGGGCCUUGUGCGUGCUAGAAAGGUGCUCUUCCACUGAGAUAUGUCCCCAGCCCUUUUUAUUUUAUUUUGAGACAGGACCUCACUAAGUUGCUGAGGCUGGCUUCAAACUUUCAAACCUCCCUGAGAGCUGUAGUUACUACAGACCUAUAGUGACAUCUGACUAUUUAUUUUUUUAAAUGGAGGAAAAAUGAACUUAAAUUAUAACAGGAUGAAACCCUAUAAAGUAAGACAAUAAUAAUACUUGUUUUAGUCAGUUUUGUCACUGUGACCAAUUCACCUGACAAGAACAACUUAAAGGAGUAAAAGUGUAUUUGGGGCUCACGGUUUCAGAGGUCUCAGUCCAUAGACAGCCGACUCCAUUCCUCCAGGCUCAAGGUGAGACAGAACAGUGAAGGAAGGGCCCAGUGAACGAAGGGUUCAGCUCCUGAUAGGGUCAGGAAGGAGAGAUAGAGAGGGAGAGAUAGGUAGAUAGAUAGAUAGAUGGAUGGAUGGAUGGAUGGGAAGGGGUUAUAGGGAAGAUGCACCCUUCCAAAGCAUGCCCCCAAUGACCUUCUUCCUCCAGCCAUACCUCACCUGCCUAGGAUUGCAACACAGUCAGUCCAUUCAAACUAGGAUGGACUGAUUAGGUUACAGCUCUCAUAAUCUAAUCAUUUCACCUCUGAAUAGGCCUGCAUUAACAGGAGCUUUGGGGGGACACCUCAUAUCCUAUAUAAACACCCCAUGCAGUUGUUCCAAGAAUAGAAACAAAGUAGAUAAUCUAUGUAUAAAAACACUUAGCACACUGCUCAGUAAUAAUAUUUAUUAAUGUUGCUAUCAACUACAUAUGUAAUUUAGACUCUGACUCCCCACCCCCAUAUGAGGACUACAUUAAUCAUAGCCUGCACCUAAUUCCUCAAGCUGAAACAGUGGCGUGUUCCUCCAAUUUUCAGACCCUCCUGCAGCCCACCUCCACCCAAUUCUGUACUAUCUACAUCUGUGUGUGCUGCAUUAGGACCUCCCCACAACAACCCCUUCACUAUCCCUCCAGAUUCAAAGCCCAGGCCUUUGACUGAGUCACUUGGGAAAUGAAGUGACUUAACAGUAUUUUGUUGUUUUCUGAGUUUUUUACUGAAGGUUGGGAUGGGGGAUGCCAAGGGACCUGUCACAACGACAUGGCUCCCCUACACUGCCCUUCCUUUCUUCUCUCUUUCCAUGCCAACUUGUCCCACAACCAGGAAAUCCUUCUCACCUUCACCCACACUUGAAACCCUUUAUCAUCUGAGCCUUGGCCCAAGAGACUUUUCCAAAAAUUCCUCAUACAUGAAUACAGUUGACUGAGUGGAAACAGCAGUACCUCCUCACUGUCAUUCUUGAAAGGGGGCAGGGAGCUGUGACACAAAUUACCUGUGGCGUCCACACCUCCUCCAGCUCCCAUCAUGCUCUUCCUGAAUGGUUGGGCAGAUUCUGAGAGGCCAGCUCCUUGGGUGUGGAAAGAUGUUUGUCAUCUCCUCUCAGUGACUCUCCUGCCCCAUCCUUUAGACACAGACUCCUCUGUAUCAGCAGAGGCCCCAGGUGGGUCUUUGUGGGCUAAGGAAGAUAUCAUUUGUUUGCAGUUAGUUCAAAUACAGCAUCAUUAGCCUUUUGGCACUGUUAGAGCUCCAACCUCUGCCAUUCCUCUUCCACCUAGGGAGUCAGGAACCAUCCUGUGCUUCUGACCCAGCUGCCUGGGAAGGAGCAACAUCCAGUUGGUCCCCUGCCCUGCCAAGUGUCUGCUCUGUUCACUUCUGUCCAAGAAGAGGUCAGAAUAGCUGCCCAGGUUUUGUCACUGUUCUGCCUCAUGGUGCUGGGACAGCCACCGGGGCUGUUGCACCCUCCUCUCCAGACCUAAUGUCCAGAAGGCCAGAACAAUGUUCUCUAUUGGGGAAAUUUCUCAUCAAAUCUUCCCUCUGUGCUCUAUUCCUCAGCUGUCUGCUCGAUGCGCAAAAAGUGUCUCGUACCCUUAGUCCAAACACAGACCCCCGUGGGGGACCUGCAUGGGUUCACCAAAGUAGUCAGUCCAUCAAGUCAUGUAAAUGUUACCUCCGGACUUCUCCCAGUCUCUCUCUCUCCCAGAUGAUUGUUCUCUUCACAUCACCUCAGCCUGCUUCCAUUUCUGUCUCCACCCAGCAACCACAAGGAUAUUUGCAUCUAUAGUGCAUUACCUUUCCUGUAAGAAAAGGGGAUAUGAGAAAAAAAAUAUGGGAGUAAACCAAAACCAAAUGUGAUCAGUUCCCUACAAUGGAGGAGAAGGGAAGCAGUGGGAAGAAAGUGGGGGGUCGGGGGUGGGCAUAGAGAGAAGGGAUCAGGGAGAACUACCUGUGUGUACCUUUUUAUAUGGUUCAAAUCUGAAAGCCCUAGUAAUGUUUUGCAUACUCAUUAAAUAAGUAAAUAAGCAAACAACUACCUGACAUGUGCGUAUAAGGAGAAGGGGAAUCCAGAGAGUAACAAAUCAACCUGUGUUAAGAAUGAAUGUCAUCAGCCGGACACCAUUGGCAUAUGCCUGUAAUCUCAGUGAAUCUGGAGGCUGAAGCAGGAGGAUCCCAAAUUCAAGGCCAAACUCUGGCCAAUCUAGCAAGACCCUAUUUCAAAACAAAAACAAAAACAAAAUAAGGACUGUGGAUAUAGCUCAAUGCUAGAGCACUCCUGGGUUUAAUCCUCAGUACUACAAAAAAGAAUUAAAAAAAAAAAAGAAAAUAGUGAAUGACAUCAUCAUACCAAAGGGGGUGGGAAAGAAAAGAGCAAAUUUAAGUAAUUUGGAGGGGGAAAAAAACAUAUUUUAAAUGCAUGCUUUAAAAAAAAGACAUUCUAUUUCAUAAAUGUUUCCACAUGUACAGUUCAACAAUUCUAAAACCACAUUAUGAGUAUUACAAGAAUAAGUAAGCAACUCUGUCAUGGACAAAGAGAACUAGAUUUAUUACUUUAGGGGAAGAGAGUUAUAAAUUCAAAAGUGGAGACUGGACUGAACCCUCUAAUACUGAACUGGAAUCAGAGACAUCUAUCUAUAUGAACUCAAUGGUUAGUUAGGUAAUAGACAGUUAGAUGAUUGAUAGAUAAACAUGGACAAAGAUACUGGUGUGUAUGUAUAUCUGUACUUUUCUUUCCUAGCUCUGUCCUCUUUCUGAGAGAGUCUGGGGGUAACGAAACCCCAGAAGGAAUGAGCAUACCUGGUACACAGGCCUUGAUUUUCAAUAGCAUUUUCUACAAAAAGAAACUAGAAGUCUUUGGAGAAUUACGUGGCCAGCCCAGAAAAAGACAAGAUAGGCCUGAAAUAUCUUGUGAUACCUAAAAGUAAGAAAAUACUCAAAAAAUAAUGACAACAUUUCAAAAGGACAUAAAAACCAACACAAAGUUCUCUUGGUCCAAUAAGGGAGAAGCUGAUCAGUGAGAUAACUGGCAGUUAUGGAUUAUACUCCUUGGAAUGAAAAUAAAUAUUCAUGGUUCCAUACUGAUGUAAAUAAAUAAUUGAAUAAAUAACUAAAUCAGGGAGAAGCAAUAGUUAUUCUGUACAAAACAAUUCCAAUAAAGGCAGAAUGAAUGACAGAGAUAGAAGGAUCACAGUUUGGCAAGCAUCACAGUAAUAAUCAUUGCAGGCAAGAUUAUGAAUGGACAUUGAAAUGAACAGAAGAAAAUAUGAUGAGAUGUUGGCAUCGUCUCAAAAUCUCUCUCUCUACAAAAUUCUUAUUUAUUACAGAGGGAAAAAUGGAACUUUUGUAAUGAAACAAAC